CCUACGGGAGACAGCAGUGGGGAAUAUUGCACAAUGGGGGAAACCCUGAUGCAGCAACGCCGCGUGAAGGAAGACGGUUUUCGGAUUGUAAACUUCUGUUCUUAGUGAAGAAUAAUGACGGUAGCUAAGGAGCAAGCCACGGCUAACUUCGUGCCAGCAGCCGCGGUAAUACGGAGGAUGCGAGCGUUAUCCGGAUUUAUUGGGUUUAAAGGGUGCGUAGGCGGUAUGUUACGUCAGCGGGAAAAGCCCGGGGCUCAACCCCGGCGAGCCGUUGAAACUGGCUGUCUUGAGAUGUCGAGAGGUAUGCGGAAUGCGCAGUGUAGCGGUGAAAUGCUUAGAUAUUGCGCAGAACUCCGAUUGCGAAGGCAGCAUACCGGCGGCGAUCUGACGCUGAGGCACGAAAGCGUGGGUAUCGAACAGGAUUAGAUACCCGAGUAGUC
rnacentral:rRNA from 1 species